UACUCAUACUCCUGUUCAAAAUUUGAAUCUGGAUAUUGAAGAGCAAUCACACAAACACUCGAUUUCACACAUCGAGGAGCCAAACACUAAUAAUUCAGAAGGAUCCCUGGCUGGUGUUGUCUAGGAUGUAUUCCGCAGGCAGGAUCUUCCAAAGCUUAAUGAAUAUCUAGCUGUUCAUCGGGAAGAAUGUGCAGCUAGAUGUCAAGCAGUGUCUUCUGUUAAAUAUCCUAUUUAUGAUCAAACAGUGUACCUUAACGAUUAUCAUAAGAAGAUGUUGAAGGAUCAAUAUGAGGGACUGAAGAAAAUCGAGCAGAUUACAAU